UAAACGUCAUAGCAUAGAAGGCACAUUCAGGCCCAGAAACACACAGUCAAAAUUCUAGUUCCGUUCGGAGCGGACGUGUGAAAAAUCAGAUCCCAGUAAAAAACAAAAAAAAUAAAAUUUUAGUUUUUGACGACGCACUGAUCCUGCACCGUCGAGGGAUGUCCCAAAUGCGCAGAGGGCCUCGAUGGAUGCCUUGCGGAUGACCUCCUGGAAGUCGUCAAAAGCGUCGAACAGCGAGUUCCUUCAAGAUUAAUGACGCCUCCUCCUUUUCCAAGACAAAGUCGUUCUCCAUUUGCAACUCGUUCG